GGUGGCUAAGUGGUAGAGCACUUGCCUUGCAUGCAUGAGGCCCUGGGUUCAAUUCCUCAGCACCA
rfam:Dipodomys ordii contig_19811, whole genome shotgun sequence.